rnacentral:tRNA from 3 species
GUGGGUAUAGCUCAGUUGGUUAGAGCGCUAGGUUGUGGCCCUAGAGGCCAAGGGUUCGAAUCCCUUUAUUCACCCCA